rnacentral:lncRNA from 1 species
AUGCUUCUCCAACGUCGUAGGAAUGGUCCACCUGCCAGCUUGUCCCCCUUAGGGUCCAGUCGCUCAGCGGGUUGUCUUCGUGAGUGUUCGGAACUGUUAAAAAGGCUGGACGUUGUAAUGUUGAAGCGCAUUCAUAUCUUUCGGUUCACAGGAAUUGGAAGCUGAGUUGCUCCUCGGCACGCAACGACAGGAACCCGUUUUUGACUGAUACUUAGUUUCCCCUUUUUUCUUAUACCAACCGGCACACUGUCUCCUCCCCCUACCGUCCCUCGUUAAAGUAGGCUACAGUAUGCCGUGAGUGAUGCGAUGCGCAAUGAGCU